CUUAUCUUCAAUUGUCAUUGAUAUCCUAUUUCUUUUGCAGGAGAGAGAGAGAUGCUGCAAGAGAAAGCUAUGAAAAUGAAAACUUAAAGCUUGGUUUGAUUUUGAGGGUUUGCUGCUGCUGGUGCUAGAUAGAAUGUGAUGAUAUAGCAAGCCCUAGCUCUACUUUUGAUUUUGAUGGCACUUCGGUCAGUUUCGUGUACUGAUAUUCUCCAUUUAGCACAAAUCAAAGCCAAGCCACCACUCAGUUCCGUGAACUGAGAGGUGCAAUGGUAGGCCACGACUUAGUUCCGUGAACUAAGAGGAGCACUGCUCAGUUCCGUGAACUGAGAGGUGCAGUGGCAGGCCACCGCUUAGUUUCAAACACUUAGAGGUGCAUAGAUAUGGGCUAAACGAAGAAUGUCUGUCGCCAGAGCAGCUUUGGGAUAUGGACUAUAUUAUUCAGCUGCAACUAUUGGAUCACAGCUAAGGAGAGAGAAUUGAUGCUGCAAAAGAAGGCCUUGGAUUUGAAACUCUAUGCUCUAGCUUGUUUGGAUUUUAAUGGGUUGCUGCUGCUGCUGUUGGAAAGGAAGCCGCGAUAUAGCAAACCCAAGCUCUAGAUACUUUCAGAUCUCGGCGACUAAAAAGGCACGCCGGUUAUGUUUGUGUGCUGAUGUCCUCCAUUAAGCACAAGGCAAAUCCAAGCCACCACUCAGUUCUGUGAACUGAGAGGUGCACUGCUCAGUUCCGUGAAUUGAGCAGUGCAAAGGCAGGCCACGGCUUAGUUCCGUGAGCUAAGAGGAGCACUGCUCAGUUCCGUGAACUGAGAGGUGCAAUGGCAGGCCACCAGAUAGUUCCGAUUACUAGAGGUGCAAAGCUAUGUGCUUAAUGGGGAACAUGUCACUCUCCAGAGCAGCUUCGGGAUAUAUACUAUAUGGUUCAGCUGAAACUAUCGAAAAACAGCUAAGUGCGCUUCUCCUUCUUUCUUUUUUUAUUCUCCUUAUUUAUUGGAAGUUUGGUUCAUAGCAAGGCAGUGAUACUCCCUAAUCCCUAUGUAGUUCAGCUACAACUACUGUAACACAGUUAAGUGAGCUUCUCU